rnacentral:misc_RNA from 1 species
AACACCUCAACCCUUUUUUUCUCUCUGGAGGGGAAAGGGUUGGACUUGAGCUAUCCCAACAGAACUCGUUUCUGGCGGGCGGCUUGAAAUGCAGGUGCAGCUGGACUUUCUUCUGAGCUAUAAGCAUAUUUAUUUAAUCCCUUAAAACGGAUUAUUACUUUUUGCUGCAGCUAAUAUAAAGGUUGAUUGUUCUCUAUGCUGACUGAUGCAGGAAUUUGGCAAAAUAUCGUCUAGGCGAUUUUUGUUAAAC